CCCGCCCUGUGGACUUUGGCCCGCUCUGUGGAAAGCCCCGGACAAGGGGCGAGUCCCUCUGCCUCCUCACAGUUACAUGUAGUAAAUAAAGAGAAGCCCCCGAUGCUGAGCACCCAUUGGACUGGCUUUAAGAGGGAACUGGAGAAAUACGGCAGGAAGAAGCUAGCAGUGGCUAUGGAAUUCACUCCCCAAAGAGGUCCGCCUGGCACCGUCAUUACUGGUUUUUCGGCGCCAGAUGCUGAAAUUCUAGAGAGCAUCCCCCAAACCCAGGGGUCACAAUGGGGGGGNGGGGGGGAGCUGUAGCAGUUGGUGGGUUUGCCAGGUAGAAAUCUCCUCUUUCAGCCAUAGCAAAUGCCCGCAAAAGUAACCCCUUUGUUUUCUGUUCACGGAAUCCCGUCUCAGUCAAAAGAAUGUUUAACAAGCCCCAGAACAGGACGAAUGGCCAUGACAUGUCCCAGAUGAAGAAUGGACUUACUGAGAUUUUUACUGAUUCAUACAAAACUUUCAAUGUUUUAUUUAUUUACAGUAUUGGUAUGCCUCCUCCAUAACAGUUUUCUCUGGGCAGCUCACGACGUUAAAAAAUAAUCACUUUGCAACAAGACAAAAGGCAAGCCUUGCAAGCACAAGAAAAGCGAAACUGUCCACUGUAAGCCCUAAGUGUUUUCUUUUUUAAAAAACAAACCUCUCAUACAUUUAGAUAAAAAUCUAGAAGAAGAAUGGUGUUCAGUGAGAGCAAAGGUCGAAUGUUCUUCCCCACCUUGGUCAAAUAAUGUUGGAAAAUACACAAGUCAUGCAUCCCUCCCUCCCACACUCCUCAGCUGUUUCCUGAUACUGGACUUCAUAUACAACCACCCUAAAUCCUUGCCACAGUUGACUUUCCAAGUUUAAGCCUUAAAAAAAAUUCUUGCUCUUGCAAAGCACUAGCCUCUCUGUAAUUCCCAGUGCUGCAGGACUUGCUGUCCUUCGAACGAGAGGGCACUGAAGGCGAAGAGGGUCGCUGCCGCAUCGGUUUAUUUACAAAAUUCAUGGGAACCAUAUUAGGAGCAAGAAGGCUGACAAAACUUAGCUGGCAAGACCUCGGACCCAUCUGUCAGGUUCCCAGAGAGAGGAGUUUCGUCUAAGGAUGUUUCGCUUGCGGCCAGCUCCAGAGAGAACCCCAGGCUCAGCUGGGGACCCAGUUCGCAACGGUAAACAUCCCUUCCCUUCUCUCUUCCCCUUCCCCCAUAGCUGGUGGGGGUCACAAUCCGGAGGCUGGAACUAUCGAGGAACGUCCAUCCCCUUCGCUAAGCUUUAGGUCACCCAUCAGGCUAGGCAGGCCGGGCAUAGCAAAAGGCUCAUUCACACCAAUAAUCGUGUCACAGUGUGCCUGGGUUCCUGAAGGCCCAAGACCCAGAAGAAAAUGAAGAAUGAAAAAGCAGGAUGGGACUGACCAGACUGAGAAAACUGAGAGGCCGGGAGCGGCUGGAGAAGGGGACAUAACAGUGAAGAUGAGCCCAAGCUCCACCAUCCAGAGAGAGAAAGCUACGUGAGGAGACUGCUCGUGUUCAUGGGAUGCUGUUACUGGACAUUAUUGCUAUUCUUUGCAACUUUAGUAGAACAAAAGGAUGGCGUUAAGCGCCCCAGAGCUGGGAUGGACCAGCACAGCGUACGGUACAAGACAAGAAUCGCCACCAGAUACAUGCCAGGAAAGAUCUUGCCACAAUUGUUUGUUUUUAUGCUACCACAGAACUCCGUGAUUUUUGCUAAUACAGCACCUUUUGGGGGGAUUAAUUUAUGAGAACUAAACCUGAGCAUGUUUAAUGAUAUGAA